rnacentral:misc_RNA from 1 species
GAACGCACAUUGCGCCCCUCGGUAUUCCGUGGGGCAUGCCUGUUCGAGCGUCAUUUACACCCUCAAGCUUUGCUUGGUGUUGGGCGUCUGUCCCGCUCUCGAAGCGCGGACUCGCCUCAAAGUUAUUGGCGGCGGUCGUGCCGGCUCCUCGCGCAGCACAUUUGCGCUUCUCGGAGACCUGGCGGAUCAGCAUCCAGCAAGCUACCUUUAUGACUUGACCUCGGAUCAGGUAGGGAUACCCGCUGAACUUAAG